CGCACAUUGCGCCCCUCGGUAUUCCGUGGGGCAUGCCUGUUCGAGCGUCAUUUAAACCCUCAAGCUCAGCUUGGUGUUGGGUGCUUGUCCCGCCUCCGCGCGGCGACUCACCUCAAAGUCAGUGGCAGCCCGCAUCAGCCGGCCGUGAGCGCAGCACAGUCGCGCCCUAGGCCCCGGCAGGUCGGCUCUCCAGAAGCACAUCUUCUUAUUUUGACCUCGGAUCAGGUAGGGAUACCCGCUGAACUUAA
rnacentral:misc_RNA from 1 species